rnacentral:rRNA from 1 species
UGCCAGCCUCCGCGGUACUACUGAUUGUGUAAACGUUGCUCGGAAUCAUUGGGCGUAAAGCGCACGUAGGCGGUUUGGUAAGUCUGAUGUGAAAGCCCGGGGCUCAACCCCGGAAGUGCAUUGGAAACUGGCGAACUUGAGUACGGGAGAGGAAAGUGGAAUUCCGAGUGUAGGGGUGAAAUCCGUAGAUAUUCGGAGGAACACCAGUGGCGAAGGCGGCUUUCUGGACCGAUACUGACGCUGAGACGCGAAAGCGUGGGGAGCAAACAGGAUUAGAUA